rnacentral:rRNA from 1 species
CUGGUUGAUCCUGCCAGUAGUCAUAUGCUUGUCUCAAAGAUUAAGCCAUGCAUGUCUAAGUCCAAGCUGUGUCUUGACACGGCGAGACCGCGGACGGCUCAUUAAAUCAGUCGUUGUCCAAAUGGGCCAGUACUAAUUACUUGGAUAACUGUGGUAAUUCCAGAGCUAAUACAUGCAACUGAUACUCCGAGGCUUCGUGCUCGCACGUCGCCGACGAGUGCUUUUAUUAGACCAAACCGCUGGGGCUCUCUUAACGGAGAGCCUGAUUUGCUAUGUGGUGACUCUGGAUAACCUUUUGAUGACAAGCGCACGUACCUCUCGUAGGACGGCGCUGCCACUUUCGAGUGUCUGCCUUAUCAGCUGUCAACCGCUCGCUACACGCGACCGAUGGCUUUGACGGGUAACGGGGAAUCAGGGUUCGAUUCCGGAGAGGCAGCCUGAGAGACGGCUACCACGUCCAAGGACGGCAGCAGGCACGCAAAUUACCCAAUCCCAGCACAUCCUGGGGGAGGUAGUGACGAAACAUAACGAAGCGUGCGCCCUUAACGGGUCUCGCUAUCGGAAUGAGCACUUUUCUAAACACCCUGUUGAGAACCUACUGAAGGGCAAGUCUGGUGCCAGCAGAGCACAUCCUGGGGGAGGUAGUGACGAAACAUAACGAAGCGUGCGCCCUUAACGGGUCUCGCUAUCGGAAUGAGCACUUUUCUAAACACCCUGUUGAGAACCUACUGAAGGGCAAGUCUGGUGCCAGCAGCCGCGGUAAUUCCAGCUUCAGUAGCAUAUAUUAAAGUUGCUGCGGUUAAAAGGCUCGUAGUUGAAUGUCUGUACCGAGUUGCGGCUGGUGGACGCUGGGGUUUGUUGCUGGCUCCUUCGCGGUUCUGGCACACGCUCCCGUCCGUUAACAUCCAUCGCUCUCGCGCACAAAAGGGCGUCGACCGAGAGCAAUCUCGCAGACGCCACAGUCACCCUGAGUAAAUCGGAGUGCUCAAAGCAGUCGUAAAGGGCCUAGCCCUGUGAACACACGGCGCGUGGCUUCGCGGCCCGCGCUAAGAGGACAGACUUGGUUUUGCAUGGUAUGUCGGAAUACGACGCCGGGCGCUGGCUAAUGGUCGUAGCAGUGGUAUAAGCCAGCCUCGGCGUAAUGAUUAAAAGGGCUUGUCGAGGGCAUUGGUAUUGCGAAGCGAGAGGUGAAAUUCUAUGACCUUCGCAAGACCUCCUGAAGCGAAAGCGUCUGCCAAGGAUGUUUUCAUUAAUCAUGAACGAAAGUUAGAGGAUCGAAGGCGAUCAGAUACCGCCCUAGUUCUAACCCUAAACGAUGCCAACCAUCAAUCCGUCGAGCACCCUUCUUGACGGGCUCGACGGGCGGCUCCUAUCUUACGGGAAACCAGAGUCUCUGGGUUCCGGGGGGAGUCUGGUUGCAAAGCUGAAACUUAAAGGAAUUGACGGAAAGGCACCACCAGGCGUGGAGCCUGCGGCUUAAUUUGACUCAACACGGGCAAUCUCACCAGGCCAGGACUCUAGAAUGAUUGACAGAUUGAGAGCUCUUUCUCGAUUUAGUGGAUGGUGGUGCAUGGCCGUUCUUAGUUGGUGGAGUGAUCUGUCUGGUUAAUUCCGAUAACGAACGAGACUCUCCCCUGCUAACUAGUCGGUUGGAUCUUGAAAUGCGAGUUCGCAGCUGCAGGGAUCUCUCCUUGCGUGGGUGUGCUCGCGUGCGUGUCCUGGUUGCUGCGCUCGUCGUGGUGCCUCGUGCGCGCGUGCUGCGCCCCGCGUGUAGGGUCUUUCUUGCCUGCACUCCAAGUCCGCCGGCCUUUAUAGGUCUUGAAGAUUUCUUCUUAGAGGGAUCAACGGCUCUGAAGCCGUCAGAGACUGAGAGCAAUAACAGGUCUGUGAUGCCCUUAGAUGUUCUGGGCCGCACGCGCGCUACAAUGCUGGGCACAACAGGUGUUUCUUCCUGCUCCGAGAGGAGCGGGCAACCCUCUGAAAGCCCUUCUUGUCUCUCUCCCUCUGCGUUAGUUUCGCCUAGUGUGUGCUUCGUAGGGGAGAGCAGCGUGCUUGGGCCUGGGGCUUGCAAUUAUUCCCCACAAACGAGGAAUGCCUAGUAGCGGUGGGUCACUGAGCCCGCCGUGACUGAGUCCCUGCCCUUUGUACACACCGCCCGUCGCUACUACCGAUUGGGUGUUCCAGUGAGAGCCUUGGACUGGCAGAGCCGCCCCUCAAAGGCGGUAUCAUGACUGAAAGAGGUCCGAACUGGUGCACUUAGAGGAAGUAAAAGUCGUAACAAGGUUUCCGUAGGUGAACCUGCGGAAGGAUCAUUA